GUGCUCGCUUCGGCAUCACAUAUACUAAAAUUGGAACGAUACAGAGAAGAUUAGCAUGGCCUCCUAAGCAAGGAUGACAUGCAAAUUCGUGAAGCGUUCCAUAUUAAA
rnacentral:snRNA from 1 species